GCGGGUGUAACUCAGGGGUAGAGUGCAACCUUGCCAAGGUUGAUGUCGAGGGUUCGAUUCCCUUCACCCGCUCCA
rnacentral:tRNA from 1 species